rnacentral:tRNA from 1 species
CAGGGAGACAACAAAAUGUUUAAUAUUAUUAUUUUGUCACCUUAGGUCGAUCGGUAUCUCACAUUCUUAAUUUAUUAAGGAUUUUAUUUCCUAAGUUUUUCUAGGUCACACCCAUUACUUUUCCUGGGCCAUUAGCUCAGGUGGUUAGAGCGCACCCCUGAUAAGGGUGAGGUCCCUGGUUCAAGUCCAGGAUGGCCCAUAUCUCUAUGUUGGGGGUAUAGCUCAGUUGGUAGAGCGCCUGCUUUGCAAGCAGGAUGUCAGCGGUUCGAGUCCGCUUACCUCCACUGAUUACCACCUCUUCCAUAAUUAUUAGGGAAUGUUUUGAGUAGUGAUCAAAUUCUGAACGAAUCUAGCUUCCUGAUGAAUUCAUUAAGAUGCUGGACUCAUUGAAUUAUUUUCAUUGUUUUCAGAGAACCUUGACAACUGCAUAGAUUAUUUUUAAAGACAAUAAGCAUCUUUAUGAUGCAGAUUUAUUAUUUGUGCGAAUGCAUUAAUAACAAUUCUAUUAAGCUGAUGCUUCAAUUAUGAAGUUAUU